rnacentral:rRNA from 1 species
UCGAGAAUUUUUCUCAAUGGGCGCAAGCCUGAAGGAGCGACGCCGCGUGGGGGAUGAAGGGUUUCGAUCCGUAAACCCCUGUCAUUUGUGAACAAUGGUUAUUAUUUAAAAGAUGAUAACUUGAUAGUAAUGAAAGAGGAAGGGACGGCUAACUCUGUGCCAGCAGCCGCGGUAAUACAGAGGUCCCGAGCGUUGUUCGGAUUCACUGGGCGUAAAGGGUGCGUAGGUGGCGGGGUAAGUUUGAUGUGAAAGCUCAGGGCUUAACCCUGAAAUGGCAUUGAAUACUACUUUGCUGGAGGUUUGGAGGGGGGACUGGAAUUCUUGGUGUAGCAGUGAAAUGCGUAGAUAUCAAGAGGAACACCAGUGGCGAAGGCGAGUCCCUGGACAACACCUGACACUGAGGCACGAAAGCUAGGGGAGCAAACAGGAUUAGAUACCCCCGUAGUCC